AACUAACAGCGAGGGAAAUAGAACCCCCGUGGAACACUCGGAGAAUCCUUUCUGCAAGCAAGAUGAAAAUAUAAAGGUAUUUCAGACAUUACGGACUGGGGUGAACAAAGAGGGAAUAUUGGAAUUUACUGUUCAGAGAGGGGAACUUGUUUACAUUGCAACGAAAGAGAUCAUGUUAAACUCAAACAGCCUUCAAAUAAGGCGUGAAGACCAAGCCCAAGCCCACUAUCGAGGAGUAGCUGUAUAUCCAUUCCUACACUGCAUAAAGGAAAUAGAAUCUUUGGACGCUGGUUUAUAUUACUGGACCACCACCGAAAGCUGGCCAAAGAGAAAUGUAUUUUUGUUGAGGG